rnacentral:lncRNA from 1 species
UCAACACAUCGAGUCUUGCGGUUCGUGGUUCGGUUCGGUCGACUCGGUCAAACCGAGUCCACUCGGUCAACUGAUUCAACUCGGUCCACAGAGUCAACUCAGCGAGUCAACUCAGCCGGCCAACUCAGUUGACUCGGUCAACUAAGUCAGCAUUUCGACACGAGAAGAUGGAAUGUCGUAGUUGCAUGCUAGCUAAAUACACGUUCUUGGAAUGACAUCACGGAAUCACGUUAAGCUAGCUUUGCACAAGGAUAUCCAGGUUACUUUUUCAAAUUAUGGCACGGUUGGAAUAGGAGAACCAUGUGGAGUCGAGUACUUAGUGGCGUUCAUUUUCUAUAAGUCUUAAGCUUAUUUGCUUCCGCUGUGCAAUGAAGAUACCGGUCCAGUCAUGCCAGCUCUGAUAUUUCAGGGUGUGACAUUGAAUCUUCGAUUAAUCCCGACUCUGGGAUGGAGAAACAAAUUAUUAUUGUGCGUUAGCUAAAACGCAUCCCGGAUCUCCGACUAAUCACGAGGAAUAAGAGGGACUAAAUGUGCCAAAUGGCCAAAGAUGGAAAGUC